rnacentral:rRNA from 1 species
GAUGAACGCUGGCGGCGUGCCUAGUACAUGCAAGUCGAGCGAACGGACGAGAAGCUUGCUUCUCUGAUGUUAGCGGCGGACGGGUGAGUAACACGUGGAUAACCUACCUAUAAGACUGGGAUAACUUCGGGAAACCGGAGCUAAUACCGGAUAAUAUUUUGAACCGCAUGGUUCAAAAGUGAAAGACGGUCUUGCUGUCACUUAUAGAUGGAUCCGCGCUGCAUUAGCUAGUUGGUAAGGUAACGGCUUACCAAGGCAACGAUGCAUAGCCGACCUGAGAGGGUGAUCGGCCACACUGGAACUGAGACACGGUCCAGACUCCUACGGGAGGCAGCAGUAGGGAAUAUUCCGCAAUGGGCGAAAGCCUGACGGAGCAACGCCGCGUGAGUGAUGAAGGUCUUCGGAUCGUAAAACUCUGUUAUUAGGGAAGAACAUAUGUGUAAGUAACUGUGCACAUAUUGACGGUACCUAAUCAGAAAGCAACGGCUAACUACGUG